rnacentral:lncRNA from 1 species
GAUGAGGACAUCCUCCAUUAUUACCCGUUGGCAAAGACGCAAUUGGCCCAGUUGGCCCAAUUGUAGUAGGACGGAGACCGUGUGAGCCUCAGAAUUAUCCCACCUCGCUUAACCUGGGAGGAGGAAGCCACUUUAAAAGGGAGAGCCACCCUUCCCCCAUUGGACUAGUCUUUUGGGGCAAUUGGGCCUUUCCCUGAGUUGGGUGUGCUUAAUGAACUGUUGGGCUCUAGGCAACCCUAAUUUGUUGGGCCUCGGCCAACCCCACCUGGGCUGGGUGUAUCAUCUGGUAUCAGAGCUAGGGCCCAUUUUGAGAAGGUGGAAUGAUGAGGACAUCCUCCACUUUUACCCGUUGGCAAAGACGCAAUUGGCCCAGUUGGCCCAAUUGUAGUCGAACAGAGACCAUGUGAGCCUCAGAAUUAUCCCACCUCGCUUAACUUGGGAGGAGGAAGCCACUUUAAAAGGGAGAGCCACCCUUCCCUCAUUGGACUAGUCUUUUGGGGCGAUUGGGCCUUUCCCUGAGUUGGGUGUGCUUAAUGAACUGUUGGGCUCCGAGCAACCCUAAUUUGUUGGGCCUCGGACAACCCCACCUGGGCUGGGUGUAUCAAAGAGUCCCUAGUUACUAUUCUCUGUCUCACUGACAAAUGCACCGAGCCCCUUCUUCUUUCUUAUCUUCGCAAACUUGGGUCCCCGAUGGUGAUCACCGGUGAGCACGCCUUCCAGUGAACCUGUACCGGCCAAGACACUGAACGACCAGAGCCCUAGCUUGGCCGACACCAAAUUCCACCCUCGGCGACACAAAUUCCCCCAUGAAUUGCAC